UGUACUUUGUUAAAUUUAUAUCUGUUUCAUUUUUUAGGAGCUAUUGUAAAUUAUAUUUUUUAAAAUCUCUUUUUCCUAUUGUUACAUUUCUAGGGUAUAGAAAUACAAUCCUGAAAUCUUCCUAAAUAUGUUUAUUAGUUCUAGGAGUUCUUUUGUAUAUUCCCUGAGAUUUCCUUUGUAGAUAAUUAUGCUGUCUGCAGAUAGAGAAAGUUUUAUUUCUUCCUUUCUAAUCUGCAUGUCUUUUAUUUCUUGUUUUGUCCCAUGAUUCUGACUGGAGUUUCUAGUACAACGUUGAAGAGAAAUGGUGAGAGUGGAUAUUCUUCUCUGUUCCCAAUCAUGGAAAGAAGGGGUGGAAAACAUUGCCUUGUGCAUGCUAGGCAAAUCCAAGGACAAACAGAAGAAGCUGAGGAAGUGUCCUCUAAAUUUCCUUUCCCCAAAGACAAACUAUCUAAUUCACUGGACUAGACGGUUGUGGAAUUCAUCACUAGUAUCUUCACUGCCCAUCUCCAUUGCACAGACUCACCAAUGAUUUGAAUUCUCUCUUGGAUUACUCAUCAUUGGCUUUUAAACACAAGAGGAAGCUAUUGGUAGUGAAGGUCAUCUUUGAAAUGAAAAGGCAAGACCUCAUGAGAUCAUGAAGUAAAUAUUACUAAAAGCCUCUGGGAACCUACAGAUAAAAUGGGAUCUGUUCUUCUGGAGUUGAUUUCAAAACUACGUAGACAAGAUCAUAACCUACCAGUACAGAUAGUUUUUCUUCUUCCUUUAAAAUCUGGAUUCAUUUUUUUCUCUUUUUUUCUUGUCUAAUUGCCCUAGCUGGAAUCACCAACACAAUGUUGACUAGAAGUGACAACACCAGACCAUUUUUUUCUUGUUCCAGAUCUUAUAGGGGAAGCAUUUAGUCUUUAAGUAUGCUGUUUUUAUCAUGGCAGUAUACUGAAUUUUGUCAAAGCUUUUAUGGGACCACUGAGAAGAUCAUGCUUUUUUGUCCAUUAUUUAGUUAAUGUAUUAUAUUACAUGUAUUGAUUUUUGUAUAUUUAAUCAACAUUGCAUUCCUAAAUUAAAUCUCAAAUGAUCAUUA